rnacentral:sRNA from 1 species
AAGGGCAUAUCGAUGAAGUCCCUGGUGCUUGCUUUUUUCGCCCAGAUUAGGGUGGGUGCUGGGGGUUAAGGUUUUCGGGCGAGGUGUAAUGGCAUAUACCAACCGACCCGGAUUCCGUGGAGACCUGCUAUCGUGCGACAGCCGUACAGUACCCUCUCCGGAGGGCGCCCGGACUGCGUACGAGACAGGAAUAGAACCUGCAUCGCGGUGCGCAGAAUCGUGUGCUGUGUGCAGUGUAGCCUGCCUUGCGUGGGUAAGCUGGGAUCGGGGAGCGAAGCGUUUCCGGCCGUGGCCGCGGCCGAGGGCGAUAUUGCCCCGUGAAAUCUUACCUGCAAAAGAGGAUAGAACCGUCGCUCGAUGUUGUGGAAAACACCUAGGCUGUCUUUCCCCAAGGGGCAGAUGGAGGAUUGCAGUGCGGACUAAGUGGCAAUCGGGUAGCGGAGGACGGUAACGCUCCGCCGCGGCUUUAAACGGAAACGACCAUCCGGCGACGGAUGGCAGCCAAAGGGGAAAUCCAACCCGACCUAAGCCGCAAGAUUUACUCUUUCUGCUGCCACCCCUGU